UUAAAAACAAACGUGUUAUAACCCCAGGCAUUGGUAACCACAACACUGCCUGCCCCAGGCUGUCUCUGAGUCAGAGAGCAUAGGAAGCUGCUCUCCAGCUCCUGCCCUAUCAAUUCAGAGACCGCAGUCAUCGCGUUAUCGUAUUACACCAGUUGAUGGGUCACACCAGGCUUGCAGACCAGACUUUCUUCUGAUCUGUGUGGCUUAAAUUGUCAUGUCAAAUAGGACUAAGCGAGGCCAGGUCCACUGAAGGAGCUCAUAGGACUCAGAACCAGAAGAGGCAAUAGAACAUGGGGAAACUGAGACCCAGAAAAGAGAAGCAAUUUGCCCAAGAUUAUUUAAUGACUUCAUGGUAAAGAAAACAAGUGGUGCUCCUGACCUUCAGGGCAUCUGAUUUUUUUCAUUCUUCCUCAUAAGACUGAUGAGGACAAUACAGCCUCGUCCAGAAGAGCAUCUGCAUUCCCUGGGAAAGACUCUCUUCCCACACCCUAUCUCAAGUAUGUUCCUUUCGGAUGCAAAACCCAAAUUGUAUUGUUUCUAUAUAUAAAUAAGCCCUGAGAAAAUGUCUCUUUGCAAUUCUUUGACAUUGCCCACUAAGAGAAUAUCUUGGUGUCUCUCUCUUUAAUAAAGUGCCUUUUCUUAU